UAAGCCCGCAAAAUCUAUUCAAUUCAUCCAUAACAAUGAUUAAAUUUAAAAUGUCAAUGUUGGUUGUACUUUUAAAAUACCAGCCGGUUUAUGUUGUUUUGAUGAACUUGUCGUCUGAUGUCUGCCUUUUGGGACUCAUAAUUGUAUGUUGUGGUAUUACAUUCACAUCCACGUCAAAUUUUCUUUAUAGCCGUGCUUCCCCUGCUUUUUAUCCUUUCUCUGUGACAGAAACUAAAAGUGCAUGUAUCAAAGUUAUACGCAAAUAUUAAUUUCAAAAUUAAACAUGUGUGUAAAAU
rnacentral:lncRNA from 1 species